rnacentral:rRNA from 1 species
AACGUGGGGCUAACAUGCAGUCGAGCGAGAACCUUCGGGUGUUUAGCGGCGGACGGGUGAGUAACACGUGGGGAACCUGCCAUACAGAGGGGGAUAGCCUUUCGAAAGGAAGAGUAAUACCGCAUAAAGUCCAAAAUUCGCAUGAAUUUUGGAGCAAAGGAGAAAUCCGCUGUAUGAUGGACCCGCGGCGCAUUAAUUAGUUGGUGAGGUAAUGGCUCACCAAGACGACGAUGCGUAGCCGACCUGAGAGGGUGAACGGCCACAUUGGAACUGAGAGACGGUCCAGACUCCUACGGGAGGCAGCAGUGGGGAAUAUUGCACAAUGGGGGAAACCUUGAUGCAGCAACGCCGCGUGAGUGAAGGAGGCCUUCGGGUUGUAAAGCUCUGUUAUACGGGAAGAUAAUGACUGUACCGUAUGAGGAAGCCACGGCUAACUACGUGCCAGCAGCCGCGGUAAUACGUACGUGGCGAGCGUUGUCCGGAUUUACUGGGCGUAAAGGAUGCGUAGGCGGAUAAUUAAGUGAGAUGUGAAAUACCCGGGCUUAACCUGGGGGGUGCAUUUCAAACUGGUUGUCUAGAGUACAGGAGAGGAAAGUGGAAUUUCUAGUGUAGCGGUGAAAUGCGUAGAUAUUAGGAAGAACACCAGUGGCGAAGGCGGCUUUCUGGACUGUUACAGACGCUGAUGCAUGAAAGCAUGGGUAGCGAACAGGAUUAGAUACCCUGGUAGUCCAUGCCGUAAACGAUGAAUACUAGGUGUAGGAGGUAACGAGACCUUCUGUGCCGCCGUAAACACAUUAAGUAUUCCGCCUGGGGAGUACGAUUGCAAGAUUAAAACUCAAAGGAAUUGACGGGGGCCCGCACAAGCAGCGGAGCAUGUGGGUUAAAUCGGAAGCACGCGAAGAAACUUUCCUAAACUUGACAUAUCCUGAAUUACCCUGUAAAAGG